UCUACCCUAGAUCCAGCUCCAAUGUCACUGCAUCUUUGCUAUUUUCCCUGAUAAACACCAGACAUGACUCCUUCUCUCUCCAGACUCCUAAAGCACCUGGUUCAGCUUAGAUGCCAGCUGUCGCCUCAAGAUGGACUCUAUUCUCUUUUAGGCUAAGUCCACGUCCUGCGCAGAGCUGAGCUCUGCGUGACAGACUCUCAGGAAACGCUAAAUGAAGACAUGCUCAUCUCUUGCAGAGUCCAGUGCUCUAACUGUUCCUUGAGAAACAAAAACCUACACUAACUUAAUUGGGAAGAAAAAAAGUCUAUUUCGUAUCCUCUCUAGUCUCUUGCAAAGAAAGAGUCUAGUGACAGAAUUAGAAGUUCCUCCAAAAUUGAAGAGAAGAAGAAGGAGUGGGUCUGAGUUUAUUCUGGUUUCUUCAUUCACGUUGGGCACAUGGCCUGAUUUGUAAUAUGCCUGCUGGGAUCACCAAUGGAGCAACGUUUUUGUUUUAGGCGUAACUGUCAGAGAGAAUCUGCAGGAUCCUGAACAUCUGAUACUUCUGUGCUUUCAAGGAGAAGAUAGAAGCUCAAGAAACUGCAUAAUCUUCCACAGCCACACAGCACUGGAAUGAGAAUUCAGAUUCAGGACCGAUGCCCAAGCACAGGAGACCUUUCCCACACCCACCUGCUCCUACAAGUGGGAAAAGAGGUAAGAGGAGGCGGCAGGACUUCAACAGGGGACUUAGUCCGUGGAGACGAGAAGGAGGGAGCAGUGGCCAGAGAUUCAGAAAUGGAAUGGUUGAAAGAAUGGUGAGUAGAUGAUCUCUACUGAAAAGGACAGUCCCCUGAGGAGAAUAGCCAAGGCAAGGUUCACAGAAGGUUUGGAAUGGCAGAAAAAUCUGACUUAACUUCACCCUAAAGAUAACAGGAGAGAAGGAGGGUUUUAGAGAGUGAAAAGGAGUCAUUAAAUCUAUCUUUUAGCCCAACAAGAUGGCAGAUUAGAGUGUGGUGGGGGAAAUGAAGACAAAAAGGUCUGUAGGUCAAUGGUUGUCAAUCCACCACGCUUCAAGGAUCUCCAGGGGAAGAUGAAAAAGAAACAGUCCAACCACGUAGGUCCCAACCAGAGAUUCAACUGUCUGAGAUGGACAUUUUGAUAAACACAACUCAAGUGAUUCUAAUACCCAGAUGGAGGCGAGCGCCACUGAAUUAGGCUGCUAUAAAAAUACGGCUCUAUUGAUUUGGAGAUUUGGGGGAGGGGACAGCAGAUAGAACGGAAAAGAAGGGAGUGCUAUGAGAGGCCUUUUGAAGGUCUGCUGACCAACUUUUAAUUUCAUAUAAAAGAUUAAAUUCUCAACGCUGAAUUUGUAAAUUUUGGCUUUCAUGUUUGCCUCUUGCCCCCUUUUUCUUACUCUUCUGUGGCCCCCCUUUUUAAAGCAAACUUUUACAGGCAGAAAUGAAAGCUAUGAAGCUUUUCUUGGCUUCAAUUAGCAGUAAUUUUUGAUGGAUAAAGUAAUACAGAUCUGCAAAUUCUUCUCAGUCAGGAAGGAGACUUACACAGUGUUGGGGCCUGCUUAUCAAGAACCCCAAAUCCUCUAUGGCAUUGCUCCUUAAUUAGUGAUUUCAGCGUCAGUUACAGUUUUGAAAUAGACAAGGAGCUGCUUUGUGUAACUUCUCAAAAUCCAAACCCAGUGUGUUUACCUGGAAUAAAACCAUGUUCAAUGGAAACAAACCGAGUGACUUGAGAGUCACAUCCUUCUGCGUUUCAGGCUUUGAGAUCAGAUAUGGGGUCAUGGUGCUUCCAAGCACAUGAGGUGGGGAGAGAGUGACAAGGGAUGGAUUUUUUUCUCACUAGAUUAGAGCAGCAUCACUGCUUAUACCCUGGAUGAUAGCCAUUCAGAUAGUACCCAUUCAAAGUUUCCAGUGACUUUAGAGUAUGAUAUUAUGUGCUGAUAUUUCAUAAGUAUUUUACACAGUGAUCUAAUUUCUGACCAGUUUCAAAAGAAUGCGACCAAUUGCGCAACUUACAACAACUGUGACUUUCAUGCCUCCUGUCAAUAAAAACCUCAGACUUUUGGGAGACUGGUUUUUCCUUUUUUCCCCCCAAAGGGGUAUUAUGCCAGCAAAUAGAUCCGUUUUAGGUGUGUGUUUGGAGGUGGGGUAUAGGGAUAUUAAACAAAGGGAAAUUAUAUGUGUGUCUUUUGCACGGCAAGUAUUUGGAAAAACUUGAAACCUUUUAUUUAGGGAAGACCUGUGGUUAUUAAGAUUUCAUUCUUUUUUGGGAAUUUGCUGGUGGUCCAGUGGUUAGGGCUCUGAGUUUCCACUGCAGGGGGCACGGGUUCGAUCCCUGGUCAGGGAACUAAGAUCCUGCAUGCCACACAGCCAAAAAAAAAAAAAAAAAAAAGAAGUUUUCAUUCUUUGUUAUUUAACUGCUACCUAGUUAUUGGAAACAAACCAGCAUUUUCCAUCCAUAAAGCGGGAAGAGGAGGAAAACAAGGGGCCGGGGGCUUACCCAGUAAGGAAAACGCUCCUAAAGGCUAUCUACAUGUGUAAUCACCACUAUCAAAACGACCCCAAGUGCAAGGGGCUGCCUCCACAGAUGCCUCUGAUCGCUACAAGGCUGCCUUUGUUUGUAGGGAUUUUGCUUGGAAGUAACGUCAGUUCAUCCCUGAAAAUGAGGUCACUGUCCCCUAACACAUGUUAGGCAUGGUUAGCGUCUUUUCACUGGGACCUCUGCCAGGGAGGCCCCUGCUGUUGUACAUUUCAAACCUGCCAGGGCGUCUGCGCACAGUAGCCCCUCUGAAACUGAAAGGCAAAACAGCAUUCCUACCUUUAUCUUUAGGUAGAGGGGAAUGGGAAUCCUUUAAAAAAAUAAAUACAGUGCUGGCAGGCUUUUGUUUUUAUAAAGGCAGUGGGUUUUUUUUUUUUUUUUUUACAGAUUUACCUUGCCGUGCCGAUAAAUCCACUCUCAUCAAGUGUGUCUCUUACGAUCUGGUUUACAUCAAGAAGAAGACCCAGAAUACAGGCCCCUUAUGAUAUCUUUUCUCACCCAGAAUUCAGAGCCCUAAAAAUUCUCCUGGAGACUGAUUAGAAAUGAAAAUAAAUACAGAGAGGAAAGAUGUUUCUCAUAGAAAAGAAGAAGCACAUCAGUUAUCGGUGGUGGGCGAGUGGGUACUUCCAAUAUUCCUCAACGUAAGGUUGAUUCUAUUCAGCUGCAGCACAGGAUUUAUUUCAGUUUGUCUGAAAUUUUCUGAGAAUACAAAGUAGGAUUUAAAGAGCCAGUUUCACCUGCCUCCCAAGGGAUAGAAAACCGUAUGUGUCAGGGGAGGAGAGUUUUCUAUGUCUUCAUAACAUGAGGGCAAUACAGUAAUCUUUUGUCCUGAUUUGUACUAGCUUGGGGCCGAAUUUCAAAUCAUUUGGACUUAAAACUUUCAUUUAAAUAAAUUUCCUCACACAGUAGAAGCUGUACGUUCUCUUAGUGUGCUGCAGACACAGAUUAUGUCCUAACACUAUUAUGUGUUAGGUAGAAACCAUAAAUAAUGUUAGGAAAUUGAUAGAGUAGAAUGAUUUGACUAAAUGAUAGGUGAGUCCCCACUUUCCCUAAAAGCUCCCUGAUACUACAUGAUGUGAAAGCACUCUUACAGCUCAUGGUAAAUAAAUGGUUUAUUUCCUCAGUGAACAAAAAUGGAAAAGUGUUCAUGAAAGUUCUAUUGUAGCCAGAAUACUUCACACAAGUUGUGGAACGAGGUGUAGCUCUUUAUCCAAAAUACUUCUGAAGUUUUAAACGCAAACCAAAUGAACUCUUCAUUCCAUUCAAGGACAUUGUAGGACAGGGUGAGUCAGUCUUGACUCACAUCAGAGUGAAGGUAUACCACAGGGAUAUGUUACCUUAAGAUUUAAAAUAUUUAUCUUCGGUUAUUCUGAAACAAUAAACAUCCAAAUAAAUAAGUAAGCCUGGGAAAUAGCCACAGAUGGAAAAAUAAUUUCUGCAAAGUCUGUUUUGCAGGUAUAUUCAUUACCAGGCUUGUCUGAUAUCUCUGCUAUGUUUAGACAUGUUUCUGGUUAUCCCUUGGGACAAAGAAGCACUAGAGAAACGGUAACACAUUGUUUGGAAAAAAACAAGUCUAUCCGCAGCUCUCUCAGUGCUCAGCAGUUCAGAAUAUAGAACAGCCCUGGAGAAUUUUCUUUUUUUUUUUUUCCUGUAUUCAUUCACAAAGAUGGAACAUUACUAUGAGGAAGAUUUAGUCCUUUUGGAAAUUUUAAUCAUCUUAUUUCAGGGAAUUAUUUUCCCCAUUGACUUAAAACAAGAAUGCAAUGGAAGAUUGCAUAAAAUAGUUAGCUGUUCCUGUUGGUUUGUAACAUGUCCGU